GGCUCAAAGAUUAAGCC
rnacentral:rRNA from 1 species